rnacentral:tRNA from 1 species
GCUGUUUUGGCUCAGUCGGUAGAGCGUCACCUUGGUAAGGUGGAGGUCGGGGGUUCAAGUCCCCUAAACAGCU